rnacentral:snRNA from 1 species
UAUCUUUUCUGGCAGGAGAGAUACCAUGAUCAAAGAAGGUGGUUUCCAGGGCUGAAGCUUAUCCAUUGCACUCAGAUGUGCUGAACCCCUGUGAUUUCCCAACAUGGGAAACUCGACUGCAUAUUUGUGGUAGUGGGAGACUGCAUUCUCGGCUCUCC